rnacentral:rRNA from 1 species
GACGAACGCUGGCGGCAUGCCUAAUACAUGCAAGUCGAGCGAACAGAUGAAGUGCUUGCACUUCUGACGUUAGCGGCGAACGGGUGAGUAACACGUAAGGAAUCUACCUAUAAGCGGGGGAUAACAUUCGGAAACGGGUGCUAAUACCGCAUAAUAUCUUCUUCCGCAUGGAAGAAGAUUGAAAGACGGCUCUGCUGUCACUUAUAGAUGACCUUGCGGUGCAUUAGUUAGUUGGUGGGGUAACGGCCUACCAAGACGAUGAUGCAUAGCCGAACUGAACGGGAGAUCGGCCACAUUGGGACUGAGACACGGCCCAAACUCCUACGGGAGGCAGCAGUAGGGAAUCUUCCGCAAUGGGCGAAAGCCUGACGGAGCAAUGCCGCGUGAGUGAAGAAGGCCUUCGGGUCGUAAAACUCUGUUAUAAGAGAAGAACAAAUUGUAGAGUAACUGCUACAGUCUUGACGGUAUCUUAUCAGAAAGCCACGGCUAACUACGUGCCAGCCGCCGCCGUAA